CAUUAUUCAGGUCUAAGGAAAAAGUAGACAGAUAGAAUGUAAAAAAGCAGUCCAAAAUGAUAAAGAGGACAGGUCAACUAUUUACUGUUGAUGACUCCAACA